AGAAUCUGUAUUAAGAGAGGAAGACUCUUCAAAAGUAGAAUUUCUUUUUCUUCAGCCUUACGUUCUACUUUUCCUUCAGUGCCCAAGAGACCAGUUCAAACUACUUGAAGCUCUAAACUCAUUUUAAAAGUCUAUCUCCAACAUAGGUCAGUACAUCGCAAGUGGUUGCUCGUGUCUACUUAGCUGCUUCUGAUGACAGCCAUCUGUGGAUCUUUCCCACACUUUCUUGCACUGAUGCUUUGGAAUAGAGCUGUGCUUCUGUUACAGGAGGUCUGUUGUCUUGGAACUCAUGCACGGGAACCCAAGUCCAGACCACCCUAUCUCCUCACUGCCUUACAACGUUCAAGUCCUGAAGGCCCUCUACAGCAUAUGAUGAUGACAUGUACACCCCGCCCUCUGACUUUAUUUUAAAUAGGCCUUUCUUUACCCAUAAUUUUCUUUGUUUCCAUCUUCAAAAAUAGGAAAAGUAGAUGGCAAAGACAUCUUAUUAACUCCCCAAGCUCCAGAGGAUACUGCAUUUUCUACAAGAAAACAAAAACAACAUCUCAUUAUUAUCUUACAGCUACCUGUAAGAAAAAGUGCUGAAAUCUUCAAAAUACUAGGUCUUAGGUAAUGACAUAAGCUGCUGUACAGGGAGGUGAAGUGACUGAUUCACAGCCCAGUGGUGAUCCUGACACAUACAGAGCAGUGUCCACCCUCCUAUAAUGUUGCUACAGAGCUCCUUCAAUAAAAGCACACAAAAGUUGUGGGAACUUUUGUUGUUGUUCAUGUCCUUUAAGAAAAAGGAUUAAUAUUUGUUAAUUUCCAGUCUUCCCAAUUCUAACUAGACUCUAUUUAGCCUUGUCAUAAUCUUUGGCUUCCAGCACUGCUGGGUUCCAAGCUCUACCUAGACAUCUCUCAAGUUGAGAACUUACUUUCCUGACUGUUCCUACCCAUGAUGCUUUUGUCUUUUAGCACUCACUAUUAAAUAACAAUAAA